rnacentral:rRNA from 1 species
UACAGAGGGUGCGAGCGUUAAUCGGAAUUACUGGGCGUAAAGCGCACGUAGGUGGCGACGUAAGUCGGGUGUGAAAGCCCCGGGCUCAACCUGGGAAUUGCAUUCGAGACUGCAUUGCUGGAGUACGGAAGAGGAAGGCGGAAUUCCCGGUGUAGCGGUGAAAUGCGCAGAUAUCAGGAGGAACACCGGUGGCGAAGGCGGGUCUCUGGGCCGAAACUGACGCUGAGGAGCGAAAGCGUGGGGAGCAAACAGG